rnacentral:rRNA from 1 species
UACGUAGGGGGCAAGCGUUGUCCGGAAUCAUUGGGCGUAAAGCGUGCGCAGGCGGUUUUGUAAGCCAGAUGUGAAAUCCCCCGGGCUUAACCUGGGGAAUGGCAUUCGGGACUGCAAGGCUGGAGUGCGGCAGAGGAGACUGGAAUUCCUGGUGUAGCAGUGAAAUGCGUAGAUAUCAGGAGGAAUACCGAUGGCGAAGGGCAGGUCUCUGGGCUGACACUGA